UUCCAUUUAUUUAUUUAUUUAUUUAUUUAUUUAUUUAUUUAUUUUUGAGACAGAGUUUCUCUGUGUAGCCCAGACUGUACUAGAACUCCCUCUGUAGACCAGGCUGACCUUGAACUCACAGAGAUCUGCCUGUCUCUGCCUCUCUAGUGCUGGGAUUAAAGGCAUGGGACACCACUACCUGGGCUGAGUCGCUCAAUUUUUCAAGCACACACCCCAUGCCCAUACUGAGUUACAAAUUUGAGUUCCCAAAUCCUUGUGUCCUGGGGCCUCCCCUCCAGCAGGUCAAGGAAACAAUAAUAUUUUGAAAUCUUUAAAGGUGACAGUUCUAGGACAGCAGCAGAGGCCGUAGGAUUUAGUGAGGAAAUAACCUGGAGUACAAACUGGAGAUGCAGGAGAGGAAAACACAAGGCAGUUGUUACCAGAGACUGAAUGACAAGCAGCUCGUCUUGUUGGGUGAUCUGGGGCAAAUGGCAUACUCCUCUCGCCUGGUUUACCCAUCUCACUACAGAGAACAUACAGCGGCCAUCCACCUCACAGGACUGGGGAAAUAACGUGCAGAGUGCUGAAGGUCAUUCCUAACACACAGAGAAUGCUCAAUAAAUUGACACUGUGUCACUCCUUGUGAAAUGACUGUGUUCACCAUGGGGCUGAAAAAGGGGGCAUGGAGUUGUGGACUGUGUGAGGAGACCUCUUUUCUGGUCCCACCACAAAACCAAUAUGGCUGCCACCAGGCCCACUGCCACCUUAGGAAGCUCUUCUAAGGCUGGGGGCUUGUUGUACUUCUUAAGGUAAACCCAUGGGCAGGGAAGUCUUCUUGUCUCUACCCACCCAUUGCCUGUACAAGACCUGAGCUGUGCAUCUCACUAAAUGGUUGGACUUAAGUCCGAACUGGCCCCACCUCACCUCCCUGGGUGUGCAUCCCCACUUAGGCCAAGAUCACAGUGUCUCCAGCUCACUCCCAGAGCAGGUGGCCUGGAAGCCAAGUAAUGUGGUCAAGCAAGUGAUGUCCAAAGAAUGUGACCAGGUCAGUAAGGGGUGCCUCGGGGAUGGCAGAAGGCAGGAUGUCCCUCACACACAGAGAAACUUCUUCAUGAUGUUCGUGGGGGUGAGAAACUGUCCCAAGGAAAUUCUUCGGGGUUAUUUCACCAUCAGCAGCUGAAAAUUAGCACUCACCUCAGCAUCCAGAGAUGGUUGUCAUGAGCUGCCAUCUUGGUUGCAUAAGCCAGUGAGUGCUCCCCAAGCUACAGGUGUAGACACUGAAACACAGAGAUGACAAGAAAC
rnacentral:lncRNA from 1 species